rnacentral:rRNA from 1 species
CUACGGGUGGCACCAGCGGGGAAUAUUGCACAAUGGGGGGAACCCUGAUGCAGCAACGCCGCGUGGAGGAUGACGCAUUUCGGUGUGUAAACUCCUUUUAUAUGUCAAGAAAAUGACGGUAGCAUAUGAAUAAGCACCGGCUAACUCCGUGCCAGCAGCCGCGGUAAUACGGAGGGUGCAAGCGUUACUCGGAAUCACUGGGCGUAAAGGACGCGUAGGCGGGUUGGAAAGUCAGGUGUGAAAUCCUACAGCUUAACUGUAGAACUGCACUUGAAACUUCUAAUCUAGAGUAUGGGAGGGGGAGAUGGAAUUAGUGGUGUAGGGGUAAAAUCCGUAGAUAUCACUAGGAAUACCUAAAGCGAAGGCGAUCUCCUGGAACAUUACUGACGCUAAGGCGUGAAAGCGUGGGGAGCAAACAGGAUUAGAUACCCUCGUAGUC